rnacentral:rRNA from 1 species
AGAGUUUGAUCCUGGCUCAGGACGAACGCUGGCGGCGUGCUUAACACAUGCAAGUCGAACGGAAAGGUCUCUUCGGAGAUACUCGAGUGGCGAACGGGUGAGUAACACGUGGGUAAUCUGCCCUGCACUUCGGGAUAAGCCUGGGAAACUGGGUCUAAUACCGGAUAGGACCAUAAGGCGCAUGCCUAUUGGUGGAAAGCUUUUGCGGUGUGGGAUGGGCCCGCGGCCUAUCAGCUUGUUGGUGGGGUGACGGCCUACCAAGGCGACGACGGGUAGCCGGCCUGAGAGGGUGUCCGGCCACACUGGGACUGAGAUACGGCCCAGACUCCUACGGGAGGCAGCAGUGGGGAAUAUUGCACAAUGGGCGCAAGCCUGAUGCAGCGACGCCGCGUGGGGGAUGACGGCCUUCGGGUUGUAAACCUCUUUCACCAUCGACGAAGGUCCGGGUUUUCUCGGAUUGACGGUAGGUGGAGAAGAAGCACCGGCCAACUACGUGCCAGCAGCCGCGGUAAUACGUAGGGUGCGAGCGUUGUCCGGAAUUACUGGGCGUAAAGAGCUCGUAGGUGGUUUGUCGCGUUGUUCGUGAAAUCUCACGGCUUAACUGUGAGCGUGCGGGCGAUACGGGCAGACUGGAGUACUGCAGGGGAGACUGGAAUUCCUGGUGUAGCGGGAAUGCGCAGAUAUCAGGAGGAACACCGGUGGCGAAGGCGGGUCUCUGGGCAGUAACUGACACUGAGGAGCGAAAGCGUGGGGAGCGAACAGGAUUAGAUACCCCGGUAGUCC